GUGUCCGUAUUCAACAAUUGGAUCUUCCUAAGAUGCAUCGCUAGAUGGAUUUCAGUAGUUUUAAAUGCAAAAUCCUCUUGUAAGAGUACUCAUCGUGUAAUUUAUCAUUCUUGCCUAUUGUCAUAAAAAAAAAUAACGAGUUUUGAUCUUAAAAUCAGCUUUGGGAGCAAAUUUGACUUGUGAAGUCAAAACAUCGACUUCAUUCAUACCAACAUGGACUCAGCAAUUAUGGGAAAUACAGUGGGUAGAGAUUGGAUUUUAGUAGAUUACAGGUAGUAUGAGAGCUAAAAGAUUUGCAUCUUCGUGGUAAGAGUUAAGGGGGACAAAUUUCAAUUGUAACGGAGGCUCAUAACACCCAGCCAAUUGGCGACAUGAAAUACGUGAACAAAGUGAUACUCUACUCGAGCAGUUUGGGCAAAUCUGGAUUCAACAAUAUGACAUACAAUUAUAUCCAAUGUUAAGUGCGUUUUUUAGAUAAUGCUGAUGUCCGAGACAGUGUACAUACAUCUCGACUACUUCCGACGAGUACUUGGUACUCACAAGCCCAUGUAUCAAGUUAGCUCACCUGGACUACUGAUUUUUCGAAAAGACCACUAGAAGCGGACCUAAUUAAAUACCCCUUCCACCUAAUGUGUUUCUUCUUGAAGAUACAAAUAUAAUUUGGUAAUUUUUUUCAGAUUUUCAGUUACUUCUAUGAAGAACAAUGGAGUAAUUCAUUAUUAUUUGACCAACUCAUCAAAGAGGUAACUCAUUAUUUCAAGUACAGUUCAUGCUUGAGCCAUACGGAUUUAAAAUGCAUCACCAAAAAAAAGAUUUCAUAAGUAGUAGAGCAAAGAAACUCAGUUGAAUACAACAGAAAUAUCACCAGCAGCUGAAGAUAACGGAGAGGUAGAAUGAGAGAUUCAAAAAUUGCUAGUGGAUGCUGAGAGUAGAUUCAUACGUUAACGAGAGUAGAUUCUGAAAGACCAGUUUCAUACCGAAUUUGCAAAGAGUAGCAAAUUUUGGAAGUUGUUGGCAUGCACUUUUUCACAGAUCAGAUAUAUGAUGUAGCUAUUAACGCAUACAUCUAGUGCACCCUCACAAUUUAACAAAAUGCUAUGGCAUACAACAAAAACACAGAAACGCACGAAUGCACACAAAGAGUUGUAAGGCCAAAAGUUGACUCUUAAUUAGUUGUAAAGUACACAAAUAAUACAUACGCGAAGGCCUGCUUCACACAGCUGCAUGGUGUACAAAAUGGAAUUUGGAAUUAGCUGCCUCAAACUCUUGGAAUAUGCUUAUUCAUGUGUCCUUUAACCGUGCAAUUAGUUCAUCCUGCCGACAUAAUUGCAUAGUGAGAAAGUUUAUUGAAAGAGAAUGACACUUCAUGCUACAGAAUAGGCCAAAUAUUCAACAAAACACAUCAUACAAGUAGUCAAGUACAACAACGACAACGCCUCAAUCCCAAACAAGUUGGGAAAAACACAUCAUACAAGUACUACUUAAAAAGUGUAUAGUGAAUAGAUUUACCAACAGGCUCUUUAAGGAAAAAAGUAGAACAUAUCAAAACCUAUCUAAGAUUAAAGGAUAUGCAAAUACUUGCCUUCCUUCCUCUCAGUGAAAGACCUUUCUCCUUUAACAGAAUCCGUAGUCUCUCAACAGUCAUAUUUUGUAUGUCAGGUGUACGAGUUUUUGAAGUUUCUGCAGGAGUUAAGACAGUUUAAUACAUCACUAACUAUAGAUGAUAGUGCCCAUGAAUUUAUUCUGCAAAAAUAAGUAGCUUCAACAAAGACUUCAAACAAGUAGAUUUGCACAAAGACAGAGUAGGAAAUUUAACAAUGAAGUUCUACCAGUGUACAUCUGACCUGAAGAAACAUGAUGAGAGAACAUACUAUUUCUUGGACCUUUUGGAGUCAAAUCAAUAGACCACAUUUUUUAUAAGGGAAAUCAAUGGACCUCAGUGUAAGUGGUUUUCACGUUCCCAGAGGUUUGGGGAAUAUGGCACUCAAUGUCCCGGAUACAGAAGUUAGAGCUAAGGCAUGUUAAUCAUUAGAGCUAAGGCAUGUUAAUCACCUUUUUUCCAUGUCACUCAAUGUCCCGAAGAGUGAAGACACAUUUUCUGGAAGCAGCCUGUAUUCACCAUCUAGUCUAAUUAGAUACAUACAUAAAUAUAUAUAAUAUAUACUCCCUCCGUUCCAAUUUAUGUGAACCUGUUUGACUGGGCACGAAGUUUAAGAAAAAAUGAAGACUUUUAUAAUUUGUGGUCCUAAACAAGUUAAAAAGGGACCCAACGUAUUUGUGUGAUUAUAAAAGUUUCUCACUAAGGGUAGAAUUGUAAGUUUAAACUAAAUUGUUUUCAAAUUUAGAAAGGGUUCAUUCUUUUUGGAACGGACCAAAAAGGAAAUAGCUUCACAUAAACUGGAACGGAGGGAGUACAUACAUAUAUAUAUGUAUAUAUAUAUAUAUAUAUAUAUAUAUAUAUAUAUAUAUAUAUAUA
rnacentral:lncRNA from 1 species